rnacentral:rRNA from 1 species
CGAGGGGCAGCAUAUGGAUAGCAAUAUCUAUGGUGGCGACCGGCGCACGGGUGCGUAACGCGUAUGCACCUACCUUUAACAGGGGGAUAACACUGAGAAAUUGGUACUAAUACCCCAUAAAAGGCAUCUUGAAAAUUCCGAUGGUUAGAGAUGGGCAUGCGUUGUAUUAGCUAGUUGGUGGGGUAACGGCUCACCAAGGCGACGAUACAUAGGGGGACUGAGAGGUUAACCCCCCACACUGGUACUGAGACACGGACCAGACUCCUACGGGAGGCAGCAGUGAGGAAUAUUGGUCAAUGGACGAGAGUCUGAACCAGCCAAGUAGCGUGAAGGAUGACUGCCUAUGGGUUGUAAACUUCUUUUAUACGGGAAUAAGUGAGGCACGUGUGCCUUUUUGUAUGUACCGUAUGAAUAAGGAUCGGCUAACUCCGUGCCAGCAGCCGCGGUAAUACGGAGGAUCCGAGCGUUAUCCGGAUUUAUUGGGUUUAAAGGGAGCGUAGGCGGACGCUUAAGUCAGUUGUGAAAGUUUGCGGCUCAACCGUAAAAUUGCAGUUGAUACUGGGUGUCUUGAGUACAGUAGAGGCAGGCGGAAUUCGUGGUGUAGCGGUGAAAUGCUUAGAUAUCACGAAGAACUCCGAUUGCGAAGGCAGCUUGCUGGACUGUAACUGACGCUGAUGCUCGAAAGUGUGGGUAUCAAACAGGAUUAGAUACCCUGGUAG